CACUAUUGGGCAGUUACUGUUGUAAAGGGCACUAGAAAGCAAAGCAUGUAUGCAUAAGAAGAAGAAAUACUGUCAGUCGGAUUGGUGUCCUACCCACGCAUAACAGGGGAGGUUAUAAUAGGUUGAGUUUUUUAUCCUACAGAAGGGCAUUUGCCUGGAGUAGAAGGCGAGGAGCAGCUAGCAACUGUGAGUUAAUGGUGAGCAGCUCCUGGCAGUGUGAUGGGACAAGCUGGAAGAUACAUGCCUGGGAGUUGUGCAAGUGCUGUAGGUCUCCUAUGAUUCUGCAGUUACAGCUGGGUGUCCGUGAUCAGCCGCCCAUUGUCGCCCUGUCUCCCUUAGGAGACACUUAGCGCUGCUUUCAGAACGUCGGACAGCUCAUUCAUACCGUGUCAAUCCGAGGACGUGACGAGACAACCCGACCAAUCGCGCUUCCCACUCGCUUCUAAAAAAGCUCCCGUUGCCCGAGUGGGGGGCGGGACUGGUGGCUGACAGUUUCUCCCCAACAGGCCGCCUGAGUGCCGCGCUGUACUGCCAGAAAAUCAACUGCCAGAAGUGUCGCUUUCACCUUGUAGGCUGCUUUCAUCUAAGGCUUAUUGGCAAGGCAGGUGCGUGUUGGCUGUGCCAGUAGCAUUGUAGCUGAUAAGAAGCUCCAGCACUUGGCAUAGCAAGGGCGUUGUACAGGACUAAGCUUUACUAUGGAAGAGGAGAAAUACUUGCCGGAGCUGGUGGCAGAGAAACACAGCUUGGACCCGUCCUUUGUUCAUGCCAUGCGCCUCCUGGAUGAAGAGAUUGUAAAGUUUCAAGAUUCAGAGGGAAAUAAAGAAGAUGGGGAAAAGAAAUACUUAGACAUAAUCAGCAACAAAAACAUAAAGCUUUCAGAAAGAGUACUUAUACCAUUUAAACAGUAUCCCAAGUUCAAUUUUGUGGGGAAGUUGCUUGGCCCAAGAGGAAACUCUUUGAAGAGGUUACAAGAAGAAACUGAAGCAAAAAUGUCAAUCUUAGGAAAAGGCUCAAUGAGAGACAAAAUCAAGGAAGAAGAAUUAAGAAAGAGCGGGGAAGCGAAACAUGCACACUUAAGUGAUGAGCUUCAUGUGUUAAUUGAAGUAUUUGCUCCACCAGGAGAAGCUUAUUCCCGAAUGAGCCAUGCAUUAGAAGAGAUUAAAAAAUUUCUUGUUCCAGAUUACAAUGAUGAGAUUCGGCAGGAGCAGUUAAGAGAGCUGUCCUAUUUAAACGGAUCUGAUGAUUCAAAUAAAGGAAAGGGGUCAAGAGGUAGAGGAAUUAGAGUACCAUCAACACCUUCCAGAAAUCGUGGAGGUAUUACCCCUGCUUUUCCAGGACGAGGAGUUUCUGCUACACGAGGAGCACCUAUAACACGUGGCACCUUAUCACUUUCUACUGUAGCCCGGGGUAUCCCCACUCCAAAAGCAAAGGGUGUGCCAACAACACCUGGAUAUAGACUGCCACCACCACCCACAAUUGAGGCCUAUGAUGAUUAUGGCUAUGAUGAUGGCUUUGGAGAGGAUUAUGAUGAACACAGUUAUGACGUCUAUGAAAACAAUUACAACUCACAAGCACAGAGUGUAUCAGAAUAUUAUGACUAUGAACAUGGAACAAAUGAAGAAAGCUACAAUCAUUAUGAGCAAGAAGAAUGGUCUAAGUCCAGAUCCACUUUAAAGGCACCUCUUCAAAGACCAACUAGAGCAGGCUACCGAGAACACCCAUAUGGCAGAUACUGAUGGUCUUCAGCAUUUUUGUUAAAGACACUUAUUAGCCUUUGGCCUCUCCAUAAGCAGCAGCAAGACAAAUGCCCUGUGAUCAUAAACUGGAUGAAAUUGAAAUUAGAGUUUAAGAUAAUCCUUGAUUGUUUAUGAAUAUCUUGAAUGUAGAGAAAUGAGGAUCCGCUGUGGAAAAAAACAAAAUCACAACCAAAGAAUGUCUUCUUAAGCAAUACUGAGGAUAAGACGACAGGUGGUGUACUAGCUGGGUGCUUGGGUGAGCGACCCAGUUAACCACAGUGCAGAUCAAAUGUGAAGCUAUUAUUACAGGUGAUGAUGGUAGUGAAGAAUUCUUGCUCUUUGCAACCAACCUAAAUCCUUAUCAAUGAAUGAAAUACUGAUACCUGGAAUUAAACAAUUUAAAAAAAAAAAAAAAGAAAAAAACAUAUCAUGAUAUUGUCUUUGCGUGAGCUUUACAUUUUUGCCCUUAAAGUACUUGUUAAUGCUUUUACAUUACCUAUUUGAUCUCCCAUGUUCCUCUAUGAGGGGGCUGCCAUAUUUGUGCAGUAGUAGUCCAUUAGAUUUAGAAACUGACUGACAGGUUGAAAAGCAACAGUUAUAGUUAUUAAAGAUGGUCAUGUUUAAGAACUUCAAGUAACAAUUACUUACAAAUCCAAACCUAUCUGUAAAAAAUUAUCAACAUGACCUAAAUUUGUAUGUACAUAAAUAAUUAAUCAUUUUUUCAUGUCAGUAUAAAUUUAAGCUGCAGUUAAGUUAAACAAUCAAGGGCCAAUCUGUACAGAUAUCAGUGCAAUAAGAGAUCAUUAAUUUGAUGAGGCCAGAUAGUCCAAAUCAGGACAGUGGGCUCAGUUGUUUAUUUUGGCCAAUGAGCUGUCUGUUUUUGCACCAGAAGUCUAUAUUCCAAAACAAUCUUCUAAAAUGCUCAGUUUGGUUGUAAAACUAAGCAUAUGUUGCCAGCAUUAUACAUUUAUUCAUCUAUGCAAAGUAGGUUUUUAUUAUUUUGCUCACCAGGCAGAAUAAUCAUGAAUAAGAACUGACAUGAACUGAGUUAUCGAAAUCAUUUAUAAUAUGCAAAUCUAAAUGAUGCAGUUCCAGCCUCAACAUGUUUUGAGUAGCAUAAUUCACACCACAACUGCUUUCUUUUUAUAUUUUAAGAGUACAAUUACAAUUGUAAAAAAACAAUUCUGGGGCCUUCAUGUGAAAGUUAAUGGGCAUGGAAGGGAUGGGAGGAGGGACAUCUAUGUGUCUCCUCCAGGCCACCAGACAGCACAGGGCAGUGCACUUAAAAGUACAUGUCGCCAUAUUUUUUUUGUCUUCCUAUAUAUAUAAUCUAGUGGU